CAAUCGGCCCUAUUCAGAGCCAACAAAUAUGUACUAAAGAGUUUUUG
rfam:Aedes aegypti strain Liverpool supercont1.752 genomic scaffold, whole genome shotgun sequence.